GAUGAACGCUAGCUACAGGCUUAACACAUGCAAGUCGAGGGGCAUCAGGAAGAAAGCUUGCUUUCUUUGCUGGCGACCGGCGCACGGGUGAGUAACACGUAUCCAACCUGCCCUUUACUCGGGGAUAGCCUUUCGAAAGAAAGAUUAAUACCCGAUAGCAUAAUGAUUCCGCAUGGUUUCAUUAUUAAAGGAUUCCGGUAAAGGAUGGGGAUGCGUUCCAUUAGGUUGUUGGUGAGGUAACGGCUCACCAAGCCUUCGAUGGAUAGGGGUUCUGAGAGGAAGGUCCCCCACAUUGGAACUGAGACACGGUCCAAACUCCUACGGGAGGCAGCAGUGAGGAAUAUUGGUCAAUGGGCGCUAGCCUGAACCAGCCAAGUAGCGUGAAGGAUGAAGGCUCUAUGGGUCGUAAACUUCUUUUAUAUAAGAAUAAAGUGCAGUAUGUAUACUGUUUUGUAUGUAUUAUAUGAAUAAGGAUCGGCUAACUCCGUGCCAGCAGCCGCGGUAAUACGGAGGAUCCGAGCGUUAUCCGGAUUUAUUGGGUUUAAAGGGAGCGUAGGUGGACUGGUAAGUCAGUUGUGAAAGUUUGCGGCUCAACCGUAAAAUUGCAGUUGAUACUGUCAGUCUUGAGUACAGUAGAGGUGGGCGGAAUUCGUGGUGUAGCGGUGAAAUGCUUAGAUAUCACGAAGAACUCCGAUUGCGAAGGCAGCUCACUGGACUGCAACUGACACUGAUGCUCGAAAGCGUGGGUAUCAAACAGG
rnacentral:rRNA from 1 species